AUUGAACGCUGGCGGCAUGCCUUACACAUGCAAGUCGAACGGCAGCGCGGGAGCAAUCCUGGCGGCGAGUGGCGAACGGGUGAGUAAUGCAUCGGAACAUGCCCAGUGGUGGGGGAUAGCCCGGCGAAAGCCGGAUUAAUACCGCAUACGACCUGUGGGUGAAAGCGGGGGACCUGCGAGGGCCUCGCGCCAUUGGAGUGGCCGAUGUCAGAUUAGGUUGUUGGUGAGGUAAAGGCUCACCAAGCCGACGAUCUGUAGCUGGUCUGAGAGGACGACCAGCCACACUGGGACUGAGACACGGCCCAGACUCCUACGGGAGGCAGCAGUGGGGAAUUUUGGACAAUGGGCGCAAGCCUGAUCCAGCCAUGCCGCGUGCGGGAAGAAGGCCUUCGGGUUGUAAACCGCUUUUGUCGGGGAAGAAAUCUUCUGGGCCAAUACCCCGGGAGGAUGACGGUACCCGAAGAAUAAGCACCGGCUAACUACGUGCCAGCCGCCGCUGUAAAAC
rnacentral:rRNA from 1 species